rnacentral:rRNA from 1 species
AUUGAACGCUGGCGGCAGGCCUAACACAUGCAAGUCGAACGAGUGGCGGACGGGUGAGUAAUGUCUGGGAAACUGCCUGAUGGAGGGGGAUAACUACUGGACACGGUAGCUAAUACCGCAUACCAUCCGAUUUGCCCAGAUGGGAUUAGCUAGUUGGUGGGGUAACGGCGCACCAAGGCGACGAUCCCUAGCUGGUCUGAGAGGAUGACCAGCCACACUGGAACGGAGACACGGGCCAGACUCCGACGUGAGGCAGCAGUGGGGAAUAGUGCACAAUGGGCGCAAGCCUGAUGCAGCCAUGCCGCGUGGAUGAAGAAGGCCUUCGGGUUGUAAAGUACUUGCAGCGAGGAGGCGUUACUCGCAGAAGAAGCACCGGCUAACUCCGUGCCAGCAGCCGCGGUAAUUC